CACCAGACUCCUACGGGAGGCAGCAGUGGGGAAUAUUGCACAAUGGGGGAAACCCUGAUGCAGCGACGCCGCGUGAGUGAAGAAGUAUUUCGGUAUGUAAAGCUCUAUCAGCAGGGAAGAAAAUGACGGUACCUGACUAAGAAGCCCCGGCUAACUACGUGCCAGCAGCCGCGGUAAUACGUAGGGGGCAAGCGUUAUCCGGAUUUACUGGGUGUAAAGGGGGCGCAGACGGCAGCGCAAGCCAGGAGUGAAAGCCCGGGGCCCAACCCCGGGACUGCUCUUGGAACUGCGCGGCUGGAGUGCAGGAGGGGCAGGCGGAAUUCCUGGUGUAGCGGUGAAAUGCGUAGAUAUCAGGAGGAACACCGGUGGCGAAGGCGGCCUGCUGGACUGCGACUGACGUUGAGGCCCGAAAGCGUGGGGAGCAAACAGGAUUAGAUACCCGGGUAC
rnacentral:rRNA from 1 species